ensembl:lncRNA
UCAAAAUUUUAGCUAGCAGACGUCACCAUGAAUUAAGUCGACACUCAAAUCCUUUUCAAUCAUAUGUCAUAUGAAGAGAUAAAACAUCUCGGUGCUCAUCGACCAUUGAACAUAAACAUUACACAACAAGUUGAAAAUCGCAAAUUCAACUAUGAGUGAUUUGGGAAGGAAUCAGUGGCUAUCUGUGAGUUCACGGGAACUGGGAACUUGGGAUAAACGAGGUACGGCUGGGAAAAUGCGUUUUAACAGUCAUUUAACUCAUUGUUGUAAAUCUGUCGUCUUUCUCUUUGAUAACAACAUUUUCCCAUGAAGAAUCCGCCGCGCCACUUUCCUCUUCAAGCACAUCACAACCACGAGUGCAGGGUAACAUGUUGGUUGUCCAAUACCAAAAAUGCAAGAAGUUCAUGAAGUUGCAGCCUGUGUUCUCUUAUGGAGAUGUCAUCAAUCAAGUCCAAAAUAGAUUUGGACUGCCCUCUGCAGCACAAAUGCACAUUUUUGAUGAUUCCCAAACUGAGGUUGAGGAGGAUGUCCUGCUGGACCUGAUUGAGGCCAUUCCAGACCUCACAAUCAAAGAUCUUGAUGAAGCGGAAUGUUGUCAAGGGGUUCCGCCUGCGCUAGAAAGGUUAACACCGUGCCUACUACAAUUGAGGACAGUGUGACCUCUGGUGGACAACCAGAGACUUACACAACCAGAGACAUUCUGUCGAACUAUUCGUCACAGACGGAUCGAGUGGUUUCAACAGAGAGAUGACAGACAAAGACAUCUUAGUAUAAAUAUAUGUUGCAUUUCUAAAUCUGAAUGAGCGGUUGUUAGGGUGCUAAAUAUCCAUAUUUAUGGUGAGAGUCUUAUUCAACUUUAUGUAUGAUAGUUGAAUUCCUUUGUCUCUCCUCCUUCUGCUCUUUAUUUCCAUACCCCUUUCAUUGUGUAACAAGCCGUCAUAUCGGGUUAGUCCACUAGGGACUUUCCAUUGCAUUAUGUUAGUAAUCAAUUCAACCUAUAUUGUGUCUGUUUAUGUAUUUCUGUAUGAUUAUUGAGCUAGUUAGUAAAUAAAUAAUUAAGCCAAUUUGUGUAUUGCUGAAUCAUAAUUUAGCUUAAGGUUCAUGCAGAUUUAUGAAGUCAACGACGUUCAGAUUGAGACUGAUAUGAAGUAAUAAUAAUUCAUAAUUGACUUGUAUUGAUGUAAGAGAUAUUUAUAUCUUUAAAGUUCAAGUCGGGAGAUAUUAACUCAUUAAAUAACUUUUCCUGUGGUGCCCCAAGAUUGCUA